rnacentral:tRNA from 1 species
ACGUUAUUAGCAUAAAGAAUGUAUCUGACUUCCAAUCAGGGGAUCGUGAUCCGCAAUUCACGAUAACGUA